rnacentral:rRNA from 1 species
AGUGAACGCUGGCGGUAGGCCUAACACAUGCAAGGCGAACGGCAGCACAGUAAGAGCUUGCUCUUACGGGUGGCGAGUGGCGGACGGGUGAGGAAUACAUCGGAAUCUACUUUUUCGUGGGGGAUAACGUAGGGAAACUUACGCUAAUACCGCAUACGACCUACGGGUGAAAGCAGGGGAUCUUCGGACCUUGCGCGAUUGAAUGAGCCGAUGUCGGAUUAGCUAGUUGGCGGGGUAAAGGCCCACCAAGGCGACGAUCCGUAGCUGGUCUGAGAGGAUGAUCAGCCACACUGGAACUGAGACACGGUCCAGACUCCUACGGGAGGCAGCAGUGGGGAAUAUUGGACAAAGGGCGCAAGCCUGAUCCAGCCAUACCGCGUGGGUGAAGAAGGCCUUCGGGUUGUAAAGCCCUUUUGUUGGGAAAGAAAAGCAGCAGGUUAAUACCCCGCUGUUCUGACGGUACCCAAAGAAUAAGCACCGGCUAACUUCGUG